rnacentral:rRNA from 1 species
CCAGAGAACUUUCCAGAGAUGGAUUGGUGCCUUCGGGAACUCUGAGACAGGUGCUGCAUGGCUGUCGUCAGCUCGUGUUGUGAAAUGUUGGGUUAAGUCCCGCAACGAGCGCAACCCUUAUCCUUUGUUGCCAGCGGUUAGCCGGGAACUCAAAGGAGACUGCCAGUGAUAAACUGGAGGAAGGUGGGGAUGACGUCAAGUCAUCAUGGCCCUUACGAGUAGGGCUACACACGUGCUACAAUGGCGCAUACAAAGAGAAGCGACCUCGCGAGAGCAAGCGGACCUCAUAAAGUGCGUCGUAGUCCGGAUUGGAGUCUGCAACUCGACUCCAUGAAGUCGGAAUCGCUAGUAAUCGUGGAUCAGAAUGCCACGGUGAAUACGUUCCCGGGCCUUGUACACACCGCCCGUCACACCAUGGGAGUGGGUUGCAAAAGAAGUAGGUAGCUUAACCUUCGGGAGGGCGCUUACCACUUUGUGAUUCAUGACUGGGGUGAAGUCGUAACAAGGUAAGCGUAGUGCU